rnacentral:snRNA from 1 species
AGCUUUGCGCAGUGGCAGUAUCAUAGCCAAUGAGGUUUACCCGAGGCGCAAUUAUUGCUAGUUAAAAAAUUAUAUUGU